rnacentral:tRNA from 1 species
AACCGCGUGGCCUAAAGGAUAAGGCGUCUGACUUCGGAUCAGAAGUUUGAGGGCUAAAGUCCCUUCGUGGUUG